AGCUUUCUGAAUCCGUGCUGAGAUUUCAUCAGAUACCAACUCAUUAGGACUGAUCAGACUUCCAAGAUAAGUGGAUUU
rnacentral:pre_miRNA from 1 species